UACAGAGGGUGCAAGCGUUGUUCGGAAUUAUUGGGCGUAAAGGGAGUGUAGGCGGUUUCCUAAGUCUUCUGUGAAAUCUACGGGCUUAGCCUGUAACGUGCAGAGGAAACUGGGAGACUUGAGUGUCGGAGAGGAUAGGGGAAUACCCAGUGUAGAGGUGAAAUUCGUAGAGAUUGGGUGGAACACCAGUGGCGAAGGCGCCUGUCUGGCUGACAACUGACGCUGAGACUCGAAAGCAUGGGGAGCAAACAGG
rnacentral:rRNA from 1 species